GAUGAAGAACGCAGCGAAAUGCGAUAAGUAAUGUGAAUUGCAGAAUUCAGUGAAUCAUCGAAUCUUUGAACGCACCUUGCGCCCUUUGGCCAUUCCGAAGGGCAUGCCUGUUUAAGUAUCAUGAACACCUCAACUCUUCAUGGUUUUCCAUGAUGAGCUUGGACUUUGGGGGUCUUGCUGGCCUGUGGGUCGGCUCCUCUCAAAUGAAUCAGCUUGCCGGUUUUUGGUGGGCAUCACAGGUGUGAUAACUAUCUACGCUUGUGGUUUUCCACCAGGGUAACCUUCAGCAGUGGAGGUUCACUGGAGCUUACAAAUGUCUCUCCUCUGUGAGGACAGCCCUUUGAAUGUUUGAUCUCAAAUCAGGUAGGACUACCCGCUGAACUUAAGCAUAUCAAUAAGCGGAGGA
rnacentral:misc_RNA from 1 species